rnacentral:rRNA from 1 species
UACGUAGGCAGCGAGCGUUGUUCGGAAUUAUUGGGCGUAAAGGGUGCGUAGGCGGUUUGGUAAGUCUUGUGUGAAAUCUACAGGCUCAACUUGUAGUCUGCACGAGAAACUGCCGGGCUUGAGUAUGGGAGAGGUGAGUGGAAUUCCUGGUGUAGCGGUGAAAUGCGUAGAUAUCAGGAGGAACACCUGUGGCGAAAGCGGCUCACUGGACCAUAACUGACGCUGAUGCACGAAAGCUAGGGGAGCAAACAGG